rnacentral:lncRNA from 1 species
CUGGAGCUCAACUCCCCUGAUACUUAGAGAAGAUAGGAGGCACCAGGACACGAUUCCGUCACAUCGAAAUCAUAUAGAUUUCGCAAACACCCGCGUGAUCCUAAAAAAAAUUUGAGCGAGAAAAGGAGUAGAGUUAAAGAUUUCCUAAGACGGAAGCCUCACCACAGCAAAGAAGAGGAGAAAAAUGAAACCUACUCUCCGAUAUAACUAAGACUCAAAAC